UGUCCAGACUCCUACGGGAGGCAGCAGUGGGGAAUAUUGCACAAUGGGCGAAAGCCUGAUGCAGCAACGCCGCGUGAAGGAAGACGGUUUUCGGAUUGUAAACUUCUGUUCUUAGUGAAGAAUAAUGACGGUAACUAAGGAGCAAGCCCCGGCUAACUACGUGCCAGCAGCCGCGGUAAUACGUAGGGGGCAAGCGUUAUCCGGAUUUACUGGGUGUAAAGGGAGCGUAGACGGCAGUGCAAGUCUGAAGUGAAAGCCCCGGGCUUAACCCGGGAAUUGCUUUGGAAACUGUACGGCUGGAGUGCUGGAGAGGGAAGCGGAAUUCCUAGUGUAGCGGUGAAAUGCGUAGAUAUUAGGAGGAACACCAGUGGCGAAGGCGGCUUACUGGACAGUAACUGACGUUGAGGCUCGAAAGCGUGGGGAGCAAACAGGAUUAGAUACCCCCGUAACA
rnacentral:rRNA from 1 species